rnacentral:rRNA from 1 species
UGGUGGAGCAUGUGGUUUAAUUCGAUGCAACGCGAAGAACCUUACCUGGCCUUGACAUCCAGAGAAUUUAGCAGAGAUGCUUUGGUGCCUUCGGGAACUCUGAGACAGGUGCUGCAUGGCUGUCGUCAGCUCGUGUUGUGAAAUGUUGGGUUAAGUCCCGCAACGAGCGCAACCCUUAUCCUUUGUUGCCAGCGAUUCGGUCGGGAACUCAAAGGAGACUGCCGGUGAUAAACCGGAGGAAGGUGGGGAUGACGUCAAGUCAUCAUGGCCCUUACGGCCAGGGCUACACACGUGCUACAAUGGAA